rnacentral:rRNA from 1 species
GAACGCUGGCGGCGUGCUUAACACAUGCAAGUCGAACGGAAAGUGCCCUUUGGGGUGACUCGAGUGGCGAACGGGUGAGUAACACGUGGGUGAUCUGCCCUGCACUUUGGGAUAAGCCUGGGAAACUGGGUCUAAUACCGGAUAUACCCUGCUGGUCGCAUGGCCUGGUGGGGGAAAGCUUUUGCGGUGUGGGAUGGGCCCGCGGCCUAUCAGCUUGUUGGUGGGGUGAUGGCCUACCAAGGCGACGACGGGUAGCCGGCCUGAGAGGGUGUCCGGCCACACUGGGACUGAGAUACGGCCCAGACUCCUACGGGAGGCAGCAGUGGGGAAUAUUGCACAAUGGGCGCAAGCCUGAUGCAGCGACGCCGCGUGAGGGAUGACGGCCUUCGGGUUGUAAACCUCUUUCAGUAGGGACGAAGCGCAAGUGACGGUACCUAUAGAAGAAGGACCGGCCAACUACGUGCCAGCAGCCGCGGUAAUACGUAGGGUCCGAGCGUUGUCCGGAAUUACUGGGCGUAAAGAGCUCGUAG